rnacentral:lncRNA from 1 species
GCCGGUUCUGGUAGGCCUCACUUUAACAACCUCAGUGGCGAGUCUCGGACUCUCUGGUGGAGCUAUAGGUCAUACUCUAUGGGCAUCCAAUGACCUGCAACAAAAACUGCAGGAAGCACUUGAUACCACUGCUGAGUCUCUGGGCUCCUUGCAGGUUACUUCAUUGGCACAAGUGGCUUUACAAAACCGAAGGGCAAUUGAUCUUCCCACUGCAGAAAAAGGGGGUACAUGCCUGUUCCUCAGAGAGGAAUGUUGCUAUUAUGUUAAUGAGUCUGGGCUAAUAGAAAAAAAUGUUGUUAAAUUGCAGGAAUUAUCGACCCAAUUGCUCAAACCCACCUCCUCCAGUCCCAUAAUGGGGUUCUUCCAAUCCUCUCUUGCCGUGUACUUACUACCUAUCUUGGGGCCCCUUAUUGGGAUGCUCCUUUUUUGUGCUCUCUUGCCCUGCAUAAUGAAGUUCCUUCAAACCCAACUACAAAAAAUUUCUAAUCAAACUUUCAACCAGCUUCUGCUUAGGCACUACCAGCCUCUGAUGACUGAUGAAUCCCCAACAUCUCCAAGAGAACAGUUCACUCAGUGCUGAAGCUCACUACCAGGCACGAUGGAAUGCAACGGACAUCAGACAGCGGGAGACAAUGAGCUCAGAGAACCUCUUAAUCUGCUAUCCUGGAUUCAUGAGUCUUUAUGUCAUUUUAAGCCUCCUCAUGGCCCUUGGCCUCUUCUCUGUCAGUCCCCCAACAUGGAACUUCUGCCAAAAAUUGGCCUUUGCUUUAAUUUUUAUCUUCAUUCUGUUUUUAUUCUCUCUGAUCUUCUUCAGGUGCUGGUGACGCCAUGUCCAGGCAAUGCUUCCAGUAUUUCCUAGAGUCUCUGUUACAGAACCAGUGGCUGAUACCAACAAUCUCCUCCAUCCAGGACCGGUUCCAUGCCAUCGACAACUUGUGGCUUCAGGGAACUUUCAUAUACUUCACCCCUACAGAAGUAGCUGUAUAUAGCCACUGGGUUUUAUUUCUGGCUGCCAUGAUAUCCCCAGACCUGUCCCCCGAGCAUUCCUCCACUUCCCUUUCUAGGCCCCACAGCGCCCCCACACAGCAGGAAGCAGCCGGAUCUGACCAACGACGCCCCAUUUCCUAAGAAAACAAAAAGGGAGGAAUGUUGGGAAAAGUAUAAAUGGCAGCCAUACCCCAGAGAAAAAACCCCAACAUGGCGCCUAAGGACCUCUUCUUCCUACCUUCUUCUUUUCUGCAGUGGCGCGAAAAGUUCCCACCCGUGUGAACUCUCCUGCCGAUGCCAAUUUCAAAUCUCACUGGCGGGGAACCUUAGCCCCAAUGAGAACUAAUUCCUGGGCUCUGGAGCUGAUAUCUGGAAGAACUUACCAAUAAAUGGGUUGCCUGCCAUUUAUCUAAGCCCUACCAUCUCCCCCUUAGUUCUAUAUAAGCACACAGCUUUUUGCAAUAAAAUUGGAAUUCUCCCGGUGAAGUGUCUUUGCGUGGGGA